UACGUAGGGUGCAAGCGUUGUCCGGAAUUAUUGGGCGUAAAGAGCUCGUAGGCGGCUUGUCGCGUCGGCUGUGAAAACCUGGGGCUCAACCCCGGGCCUGCAGACGAUACGGGCAAGCUAGAAUUCGGUAGGGGAGACUGGAAUUCCUGGUGUAGCGGUGAAAUGCGCAGAUAUCAGGAGGAACACCGGUGACGAAGGCGGGUCUCUGGGCCGAUAUUGACGCUGAGGAGCGAAAGCGUGGGGAGCGAACAGG
rnacentral:rRNA from 1 species